rnacentral:rRNA from 1 species
GAUGAACGCUGGCGGCGUGCCUAAUACAUGCAAGUCGAGCGAACAGACGAGGAGCUUGCUCCUCUGACGUUAGCGGCGGACGGGUGAGUAACACGUGGAUAACCUACCUAUAAGACUGGGAUAACUUCGGGAAACCGGAGCUAAUACCGGAUAAUAUAUUGAACCGCAUGGUUCAAUAGUGAAAGACGGUUUUGCUGUCACUUAUAGAUGGAUCCGCGCCGCAUUAGCUAGUUGGUAAGGUAACGGCUUACCAAGGCAACGAUGCGUAGCCGACCUGAGAGGGUGAUCGGCCACACUGGAACUGAGACACGGUCCAGACUCCUACGGGAGGCAGCAGGAGGGAAUCUGCCGCAAUGGGCGAAAGCCUGACGGAGCAACUCCGCGUGAGUGAUGAAGGUCUUCGGAUCGUAAAACGCUGUUAUUAGGGAAGAACAAAUGUGUAAGUAACUAUGCACGUCUGGAGGGUACCUAAUCAGAGAGCCACGGCUAACUACGU